GGGCACUGGAGUCUGAGUCAGGAGGAUCAUAAAUUGAAGGCCAGUCUCAGCAACUAAGUGAUGAGAUCCUAAGCAACUUAGCAAGACCCUGUCUCAAAAUAAAAAAAUAAAAUAAAAACUAGGGAUAUAGCUCAGUGGUUUACUUUUUGGUACCAGGGUUCAAUCCCCUGGUACCAAAAAAUAAAAAUACCUUAGAAUGAUUGUAAUUUUUUCAUUAACAUUUGAAUGAUCAUUGUUAAAUAACAUUCACUUUAGGAAAACAAACUCAUCUACAGAUGAAUAAACUAAAUUACAAUGAAAAUGAAAUGAGAACUUUUAUCUAGACUAAAUAACCCACAAGAGGUGAACAUUUUAAGCACCCCCCUCAAAAAAAAAAUACACACAUGCAUGCACUGUAGCUUUGGCAGGAAAUAGUGAACGAAAUUAUGAAAGAGUAAACACUGUUCUUGUGGUAGGGUAUAUUUGCUUAACUGUUAAUUAACUGUGAAGAGGAAUCCACAUUUUCAGAGUAUCAGGGCUAGAGUUCUCUCAGGCAGUACUACUCUUGCCACUUUCUUUCAAGUCCCAGUACAGGUGACAUUAAUAUUUAACUAUCUGAGAAAGUUUUAAAUUUGUAGUAACAAUAAUGGCAUUGAGGGAGAUAUUAGUCAAGGGUACAAAGUUUCAGUUAAACAGGAUGAAUGAGUUCCAGAGAUCUUAGUAACUACAUGGUGACAGUAAUUAAUAGAUAUCACAUACUUUGAAAAUUACAAAGAGAGUAGACCUUAAAUGUUUUAACCACAAAAGAAUAAAUAUGUGAAGGGAUAGACAUUAACUUAUUUUAAUCAUUUCACAAUGUGUAUAUGUAUCAGAAUAUCAAGUUGUACAUUAUAAAUAUAUGCAAUUUUAUUUGUCAAUUAUUCCUUAUUAAAACUGGGGGCAGGGGAGAAAACCAAUGACUCUGUACUUAAAUAAUGAAAGUGAUCUUCACUCAAUUAUCUAUGGUUAUUAAAG
rnacentral:lncRNA from 1 species